rnacentral:rRNA from 1 species
GAUGAACGCUGGCGGCGUGCCUAAUACAUGCAAGUCGAGCGAACGGACGAGAAGCUUGCUUCUCUGAUGUUAGCGGCGGACGGGUGAGUAACACGUGGAUAACCUACCUAUAAGACUGGGAUAACUUCGGGAAACCGGAGCUAAUACCGGAUAAUAUUUUGAACCGCAUGGUUCAAAAGUGAAAGACGGUCUUGCUGUCACUUAUAGAUGGAUCCGCGCUGCAUUAGCUAGUUGGUAAGGUAACGGCUUACCAAGGCAACGAUGCAUAGCCGACCUGAGAGGGUGAUCGGCCACACUGGAACUGAGACACGGUCCAGACUCCUACGGGAGGCAGCAGUAGGGAAUCUUGCGCAAUGGGCGAAAGCCUGACGGAGCAACGCCGCGUGAGUGAUGAGGGUCUUCGGAUCGUAAAACUCUGUUAUUAGGGAAGAACAUAUGUGUAAGUAACUGUGCACAUCUUGACGGUACCUAAUCAGAAAGCCACGGCUAACUACGUG